UUUUGAGCAGUUGAACCUCCAAAAGUCUCAACGUCUGUACGAGUGUAUCUGAUGCAGACAGUUAUCCGCUUGAACUGGUCUCAUAACUGAAGCGUGUCGUUGGAAGUAAAAAGCUUUCUUCACCUAAUUUUCACGUUCACCUGUUCGACGAAAGUCCUCAUUGUUUUAAUUCUAUUGCUUUUCGCAGCACGCGCAACACAUUCCUGGUUUUCAAAACCGUUUCUGAUUGUUCCGGAGCAUAGCAAACAUUGCGGGGAAACAUAUUGGUUUUGAAGCUUUAAUGGCUUUGAAGUCUGUGAUUGUGUUGGAGGGCACAAAUCCUCAUUUUGGUUGGAAUGAUUCGGGGUCUAAGCCAUCUGGGUUUCCAUUGAAUUGGAUAAAUGGACCGGAGAAAGUGUGCAAAUCGAUGAGUUUUGGUGGCUUUUCGGGUUUCUCAGCUUGUCGGGCUAUACGGAAUGUGGAAGACGGCAACACGUCCAAGCGGGGCACGCACUUGGAACGAGUAAUUGAUGAGACGAAGAGCUCCUUUCCAAAACCAUUAUCUGUAUCUGAUCUUUCUAGUACUGCUGAUGAUGGUUCGAAGGUACGGAUAUCAUUCAAGGGGUAUCCAGGGUCAUACACUGAGGAUGCUGCAUUCAAAGCCUACCCUAAAUGUGAAACCGUUCCUUGUAACGAGUUUGAAGAUGCAUUUAAGGCUGUUGAACUAUGGCUGACUGAUAAAGCAGUCCUUCCCAUUGAGAAUUCUUCAAGUGGAAGUAUCCACCGCAAUUAUGAUUUACUACUUCGUCAUAGGCUUCAUAUUGUAGGUGAGGUGCAGUUGGCUGUUAAUUUUUGCCUUCUGGCCCUGCCAGGCGUCAGAUCAGAGCACUUGAAACGUGUUAUAAGCCAUCCACAGGCACUUUCGUUGAGUGAUAUUCUCCUGAGUAAGUUAGGUGUUUCCAGGGAAAAUGUUGAUGAUACAGCUGGGGCUGCUCAGUAUGUAGUCUCAAAUGGCCUAAGGGAUGCUGGUGUUGUCGCAAGUGCUCGAGCUGCAGAAAUCUAUGGGCUUAACAUACUAGCAGAUGGAAUCCAGGAUGACUCUGAUAACAUUACUCGUUUUCUGGUACUUGCAAGGGAUCCAAUAAUUCCAAGAACUAAUACGCAGUUUAAAACAAGCAUUGUAUUUACUUUGGAUGAAGGCCCUGGAGUUUUAUUUAAAGCCUUGGCAGUAUUUGCUCUGAGGGACAUAAACUUGACAAAGAUUGAAAGUCGACCACAGAGAAAGCGGCCAUUAAGAGUAGUUGAUGACUCUAACACGGGGAGUGCCAAAUAUUUUGACUACCUUUUCUAUAUUGAUUUUGAGGCUUCUAUGGCAGAGCCCCGUGCACAAAAUGCUUUAGGACAUUUGCAGGAAUUUGCAACAUUCCUUCGCAUACUUGGUUGCUAUCCCAUGGAUACCACUUUGUAGUCCCUGUAUUCUUUGCAGUCUUCUUGUGAAUGGUCUUUGAGAUCUCAUAGUAGACAAGAAGGCUACUUCGCUACCAGUGAUUACAUAGGUUGAAAGGGUUUAGUGCAAAGUUGAAAUUUGAGGCUUCUAAAGACCACGAAGACGAGAGAUCACAAGAGACCCAUGAAGACCAACAACAAUCUUGAAGACACAGAUGAUAAAGAUUUUCACUUUGAAGACGUGCCAAAAUGGUUGAACUGGUGACUUUUCUUUCUGGCAACCCCCAAUACGAUGUCCCAAAAAUUGCAUCUCUGUCUAAGCGAAGUUUUUCCUACUUCAAAUAAAAUUCAUGCUCACAAAGCUUAGCGCUGAGCUACCAUUCCUCUAAUCUAUUGCCCCUAUGUGCCACUCCUC